rnacentral:rRNA from 1 species
GUGAGGAAUAUUGGUCAAUGGGCGCAAGCCUGAACCAGCCAUGCCGCGUGCAGGAAGACGGUCCUAUGGAUUGUAAACUGCUUUUAUUUGGGAAUAAACUCCGGUACGUGUACCGGCCUGAAGGUACCAAAUGAAUAAGCACCGGCUAACUCCGUGCCAGCAGCCGCGGUAAUACGGAGGGUGCGAGCGUUAUCCGGAAUCAUUGGGUUUAAAGGGUCCGCAGGCGGUCUUAUAAGUCAGUGGUGAAAGCCUACAGCUCAACUGUAGAACUGCCAUUGAUACUGUAGGUCUUGAAUUCGAUCGAAGUGGGCGGAAUGUGACAUGUAGCGGUGAAAUGCUUAGAUAUGUCACAGAACACCGAUAGCGAAGGCAGCUCACUAGGUCUGGAUUGACGCUCAGGGACGAAAGCGUGGGGAGCAAACAGGAUUAGAUACCCUAGUAGUCC